CCCACGGGGUAUGCUAGUACGAGCGAGUGAGCGGCAAGAGCUCAAAUUUGAAAGCUGGCCCCCUCGGGGUCCGCAUUGUAAUUUGCAGAGGAUGCUUCGGGAACGGCCCCCAUCUAAGUGCCCUGGAACGGGCCGUCAUAGAGGGUGAGAAUCCCGUCUGGGAUGGGGUGGCCGCGCCCGUGUGAAGCUCCUUCGACGAGUCGAGUUGUUUGGGAAUGCAGCUCUAAUUGGGUGGUAAAUUUCAUCUAAAGCUAAAUAUUGGCCGGAGACCGAUAGCGCACAAGUAGAGUGAUCGAAAGAUGAAAAGCACUUUGAAAAGAGAGUUAAACAGCACGUGAAAUUGUUGAAAGGGAAGCGCUUGCGACCAGACUCGCCCGCGGGGUUCAGCCGGCACUCGUGCCGGUGUACUUCCCCGCGGGCGGGCCAGCGUCGGUUUGGGCGGCCGGUCAAAGGCCUCUGGAAGGUAACGCCUCUCGGGGCGUCUUAUAGCCAGGGGUGCCAUGCGGCCUGCCCGGACCGAGGAACGCGCUUCGGCUCGGACGCUGGCAUAAUGGUCGUAAGCGACCCGUCUUGAACCACGGACCA
rnacentral:rRNA from 1 species